rnacentral:rRNA from 1 species
AGUGAACGCUGGCGGUAGGCCUAACACAUGCAAGUCGAACGGCAGCACAGUAAGAGCUUGCUCUUACGGGUAGCGAGUGGCGGACGGGUGAGGAAUACAUCGGAAUCUACUUUUUCGUGGGGGAUAACGUAGGGAAACUUACGCUAAUACCGCAUACGACCUACGGGGGAAAGCAGGGGAUCUUCGGACCUUGCGCGAUUGAAUGAGCCGAUGUCGGAUUAGCUAGUUGGCGGGGUAAAGGCCCACCAAGGCAACGAUCCGUAGCCGGUCUGGGAGGAUGAUCAGCCACACUGGAACUGAGACACGGUCCAGACUCCUACGGGAGGCAGCAGUGGGGAAUAUUGGACAAUGGGCGCAAGCCUGACCCAGCCACACCGCGUGGGUGAAGAAGGCCUUCGGGUUGUAAAGCCCUUUUGUUGGGAAAGAAAAGCAGCAGGUUAAUACCCAGCUGUUCUGACGGUACCCAAAGAAUAAGCAACGGCUAACUUCGUG